rnacentral:rRNA from 1 species
UACAGAGGAGCCAAGCGUUGUCCGGAUUGACUGGGCGUAAAGCGCACGCAGGCGGAUGCGCGCGUGGGGUGUGAAAUCUGGCCGCUUAACGGCCAGGCGCCAUCCCAUACGGCGCGUCUGGAGUGAUGCAGAGGUCGGUGGAAUUGCCGGUGUAGUGGUGAAAUGCGUAGAGAUGUGGAGGAACACCAGUGGCGAAGGCGACUCUUUGGCCUGUAACUGACGCUGAGGCGCGAAAGCGUGGGGAGCAAACAGG